GCUUGACAUACCAUUGACCGGAUUAGAGAUAGUCCUUCCCUUCGGGGCAGUGGAUAACAGGUGGUGCAUGGUUGUCGUCAGCUCGUGUCGUGNAGAUGUUGGGUUAAGUCCCGCAACGAGCGCAACCCUUAUUCUUAGUAACCAGCGGGUAAUGCCGGGGACUCUAGGGAGACUGGCCGUGGAUAACACGGAGGAAGGUGGGGAUGACGUCAAAUCAUCAUGCCCUUUAUGGCCUUGGGCAACACACGUGCUACAAUGGCUGCAACAAAGUGMGGCAAGACGGCGACGUUAAGCAAAACACAAAAAAGCAGUCUCAGUUCGGAUUGUAGUCUGCAACUCGACUAUAUGAAGCUGGAAUCGCUAGUAAUCGCAGAUCAGAAUGCUGGCGGUGAAUACGUUCCCGGGCCUUGUACACACCGCCCGUCACANCCAUGGGAGUUGGAAGUACCCCAAGUCUGUGACCUAACCGUAAGGAAGGAGCAGCCGAAGGUAAUAUCAGC
rnacentral:rRNA from 1 species